AUUGAACGCUGGCGGCAGGCCUAACACAUGCAAGUCGAACGAGUGGCGGACGGGUGAGUAAUGUCUUGGAAACUGCCCGAUGGAGGGGGAUAACUACUGGAAACGGUAGCUAAUACCGCAUACCAUCGGAUGUGCCCAGAUGGGCUUAGCUAGUAGGUGGGGGAACGGCUCACCUAGGCGACGAUCCCGAGCGGUUCUGAUCGGAUGACCAGCAACACUGGAAAUGAGACACGGUCCAGACUCCGACGUGAGGCAGCAGUGGGGAAUAUGGCACAAUGGGCGCAAGCCUGAUGCAGCCAUGCCGCGUGUAGGAAGAAGGCCUUCGGGUUGUAAAGUACUUGCAGCGGGGAGGCGUUACCCGCAGAAGAAGCACCGGCUAACUCCGUGCCAGCCGCCGCGGUAAUAC
rnacentral:rRNA from 1 species